rnacentral:rRNA from 1 species
CUUUUUGAGAGUUUGAUCCUGGCUCAGGAUGAACGCUGGCGGCGUGGAUAAGGCAUGCAAGUCGAGAGGGUUUAGACCCUCGGCAAACGGGUUCGGAACGCGUAGGAACUUACCCCGAAGUCAUGGAUAAUCCGGAGAAAUCCGGAACAAUACAUGAUACCCUCUACGGAGGAAAGAUUUAUCGCUUCGGGAGAGGCCUGCGUCCUAUCAGCUAGUUGGUGAGGUAAUAGCUCACCAAGGCGAUGACGGGUAGGGGGUGUGAGAGCAUGGCCCCCAACAUUGGAACUGAGACACUGUCCAAACACCUACGGGUGGCUGCAGUCGAGAAUAUUCGUCAAUGGGCGAAAGCCUGAACGAGCGACGCCGCGUGCAGGAAGAAGGUUUUCGGAUUGUAAACUGCUUUUCUCUGGGAACAAUUUCGAUGAGUGUACCAGAGGAAUAAGAGGUUACUAACUCUGUGCCAGCAGUAGCGGUAAUACAGAGACCUCAAGCGUUAUCCGGAUUUAUUGGGCGUAAAGCGCAGGUAGGCGGGUAUGUUAGUCGGAUGUCAAAUCUCUCGGCUCAACCGGGAACAGGCAUUCGAAACGGCAUACCUAGAGAAUAUGAGAGAUCAGUGGAAUUUAUGGUGUAGUAGUGAAAUGCGUUGAUAUCAUAAGGAACACCCAAGGCGAAGGCAACUGAUUGGCAUAUUUCUGACGCUGAGCUGCGAAAGCGUGGGUAGCGAAUGGGAUUAGAUACCCCAGUAGUCCACGCCCUAAACGAUGCAUACUAGGUGUGGGGAGAAUCGACCCUCUCCGUGCCGAAGCUAACGCGAUAAGUAUGCCGCCUGGGAAGUACGAUCGCAAGAUUAAAACUCAAAGGAAUAGACGGGGAUCCGCACAAGCGGUGGAGCAUGUGGUUUAAUUCGACGGUAAGCGAGGAACCUCACCAGGGUUUGAAAUCUAGCUGCAGAGUCCAGAAAUGGAAUGUCCUUCGAGGGUGCUAGACCAGGUGCUGCAUGGUCGUCGUCAGCUCGUGCCGUAAGGUGUUCCGUUAAGUCGGGAAACGAGCGCAACCCCCAUAAAGUGUUUCAAGUGUCACUUUAGACUGCCCAGCCCUUAGAUCAGUAUUAUGUAUUUAGUAUUAUGUAUUUUGUAUUCAUACAAGAUACGAAAUACUUCAUACCAUAUACUUGUUUGAGGGCUGGGAGGAAGGAGGGGAUGACGUCAGAUCAGCAUGGCCCUUUGACACCCUGGGCUACACACGUGCUACAAUGGCCGGUUAUAAAGGGCUGCCAACCCGCAAGGGGGAGCCAAUCCCACAAACCCGGCCUCAGUUCGGAUUGCAGGCUGCAACUCGCCUGCAUGAAGCUGGAAUCGCUAGUAAUCGUGAAUCAGCAACGUCACGGUGAAUACGUUCUCGGAUCUUGUACUCACCGCCCGUCACGUCAAGAGAGCUGGCAACACCAGAAGGUCCCGGGUCAAAUCGGGAACUACGGUGGGGUUAGUGAUAGGGACGAAGUCGUAACAAGGCAUCCGUAGCGGAAGCUGUGGAUGAAUCACCUCCUUU